rnacentral:rRNA from 1 species
UGAGGAAUAUUGGUCAAUGGGCGGGAGCCUGAACCAGCCAAGCCGCGUGAGGGAGGAAGGCCCUAUGGGUCGUAAACCUCUUUUGUCAGGGAACAAAAGCGAGUAUGUAUACUAGUCUGAGUGUACCUGAAGAAAAAGCAUCGGCUAACUCCGUGCCAGCAGCCGCGGUAAUACGGAGGAUGCGAGCGUUAUCCGGAUUUAUUGGGUUUAAAGGGUGCGUAGGCGGCGGUGCAAGUCAGCGGUAAAAGCCCGGGGCUCAACCCCGGCGAGCCGUUGAAACUGCAGUGCUAGAGAAGGCGAGAGGUACGCGGAAUGCGCAGUGUAGCGGUGAAAUGCUUAGAUAUUGCGCAGAACUCCGAUUGCGAAGGCAGCGUACCGGCGCCUGACUGACGCUGAGGCACGAAAGCGUGGGGAUCGAACAGGAUUAGAUACCC